AGGGUUUGAUCAUGGCUCAGAUUGAACGCUGGCGGCAGGCCUAACACAUGCAAGUCGAGCGGUAGAGAGAAGCUUGCUUCUCUUGAGAGCGGCGGACGGGUGAGUAAUGCCUAGGAAUCUGCCUGGUAGUGGGGGAUAACGCUCGGAAACGGACGCUAAUACCGCAUACGUCCUACGGGAGAAAGCAGGGGACCUUCGGGCCUUGCGCUAUCAGAUGAGCCUAGGUCGGAUUAGCUAGUUGGUGAGGUAAUGGCUCACCAAGGCGACGAUCCGUAACUGGUCUGAGAGGAUGAUCAGUCACACUGGAACUGAGACACGGUCCAGACUCCUACGGGAGGCAGCAGUGGGGAAUAUUGGACAAUGGGCGAAAGCCUGAUCCAGCCAUGCCGCGUGUGUGAAGAAGGUCUUCGGAUUGUAAAGCACUUUAAGUUGGGAGGAAGGGCAUUAACCUAAUACGUUGGUGUCUUGACGUUACCGACAGAAUAAGCACCGGCUAACUCUGUGCCAGCAGCCGCGGUAAUACAGAGGGUGCAAGCGUUAAUCGGAAUUACUGGGCGUAAAGCGCGCGUAGGUGGUUCGUUAAGUUGGAUGUGAAAUCCCCGGGCUCAACCUGGGAACUGCAUUCAAAACUGACGAGCUAGAGUAUGGUAGAGGGUGGUGGAAUUUCCUGUGUAGCGGUGAAAUGCGUAGAUAUAGGAAGGAACACCAGUGGCGAAGGCGACCACCUGGACUGAUACUGACACUGAGGUGCGAAAGCGUGGGGAGCAAACAGGAUUAGAUACCCUGGUAGUCCACGCCGUAAACGAUGUCAACUAGCCGUUGGGAGCCUUGAGCUCUUAGUGGCGCAGCUAACGCAUUAAGUUG
rnacentral:rRNA from 1 species